rnacentral:rRNA from 1 species
CUCCUACGGGAGGCAGCAGUGGGGAAUAUUGGACAAUGGGCGCAAGCCUGAUCCAGCAAUGCCGCGUGUGUGAAGAAGGCCUUCGGGUUGUAAAGCACUUUUAUCAGGAAAGAAAUCCUGCCGGCUAAUACCUGGCGGGGAUGACGGUACCUGAGGAAUAAGCACCGGCUAACUUCGUGCCAGCAGCCGCGGUAAUACGA